CGGCCGGCGCGUGCGUCAUUUCCGCUGGCCUCCGGUUUGGCUGUCUCAGUGUGGUAGGAGACGCUGUGCUCUGCCGCUGGUGUGGUCAUCUUCCUUUUUCUCAGUCAUUGACUUCCAAAUGUCGUAUACUCACUGGUGAUGCAUUAGUGGCUAUGAUGGCUUUAAGUGUAUUUCUACUUCUUGCAUGAGCAGAUGUUGCUGAUAUGGAAGUUUAUUAUGUCCUUGUGGGCAGUACUGAGGACUGAGACUGUUAAUCUGCUCAUUAAGAUCCCAUGCCAAAACAACAGAAGGGAUAUUCAAACAAGGAAAUGUUAAAAUUGAAACACAGGAAUUAAAAAUAAUAUGAAAACAGCUUUUCUAGAAGAUCAUAACUACUGAAUUCAAAGAUACUGAAAUAAGCAAAGUGCUUGGUGAAAAUUUCAAUAAUUUUCUGGUAAAAAUGAUCAGUGAUAUGAAGGGGAAUACAAAGAAGCAAAGAUAUUUAACUUAACACCUGGGAGGGAAAGCCAGCAAUGCUCAAGAGGAAAAGUCAGGAAAAUAAAGGAAAAAAAACAGCAAAAUGGAUGAAAAAGUUACCAACAAAAAAAAAAUUCAGCAAGAAAAUUGAGAUUUUUUUUAAAAGAAAAUAAUAAACCUAUUCCCCCAGACACUAAGCAAACCAAAAACCACCAAAUAGAAAUGUUGGAAAAGGAACAAAUGAAUCAAAAACACACUGAAUGGCAUUACCAAUACACUAAGCCAAGCAAAGGAAAGAACAGAUGGAGGAAAGAAUCAGGGAUGGAGGACAAGGCUGAAUGAAGAGUACAUUCAAACAUCAACAGAGAAAGAAAAUAAGCCUGACUGAAGUAAUUAAAAAUUCUGGGAUAUCCCACUCACAAAAUUUGACCAAAAUUUGUCCUGCCAGCAAGAAGUGCAGGGACAAAGAUGGAGCAAUGAUUGAGGAAACAGCCAACCAACAACUGGCCCUACUCGAGACCCAACCCAUGGGAGAGCACCAACCCCUGACAAUAUUGUUACUCUGCUGUGCUUAUAGACAGGAGCCGACCAUAACUCCUCUGAGAGGCUUCCCAGAGCAGCCAAUGGAAACAGAUGCAGAGACACAUAACCAAACUUUUUAGACAGAGCUUGGGGAGUCACAUAGAAGAGUUUGGGAAAUGAGGGAGCCAAGGGGUCAAGAACUCCACAAAGACCUACAGAGACAACUAACCUAGGCUCAUGGGGGCUCACAGAGACAGAACCACCAACCAAAGAGCAUUCGCUGACUGGUCCUAAGUGCCCUGCACAUAUUUAGCAGAUGCUUACCUUGGUCUUCAUGUGGAUUCCCCCAACUACAGUGGGGCCCUCUCUGACUUUGAUGCCUUCCUUCGGAUCCCAUUCCCCUAACUGGACUGUCUUAUCUGGCCUCAGUGGGGGAGGAUGAGACUUGUUCUGCAGCAACCUAAUGUCCCAGAGCAGUUGGAACCCAUGGGGGACCUCCCCCUUCUCUGACGAGGAGAAGCAAGAAUGGGGCAAGGAGGGGUGUACAAGGUGAGGGAUUGGGGGGAAAGGAGGGAGACUGCAAUCAAGAUGUAAAGUGAAUUAAUUAAUUAAUUAAAAAAUAAAAUCAGAAAAAAAUUCUGGGACAUGAUCAAACCUAAGCACACAUAGGAAGGAAAGUAGGAAGAAAAGGAAGAUAAACACUAAAGAUACAAUUCAGUUAAAUUAUAGCAGAAAACCUCCCAAAUUUAGAGAAACACACAACAUUCAAAUACAAGAAAUACGCAGAAACCCAAAGAGAUAUGACAAAGUUAAAAUUUCUCCAUACCAUGUUACAGCCAAGAUAUCAAAAAUAAAAAUCUAGGGCUGGACAGAUGGCUUAGUGGUUCAAAGUACUUGCUGUUUCUCCAGGGGACUCCAGUUCAGUUCCCAGUGCCCACAUCAAGGUGAUUCCCAGCUCCAGGGUAUCUGAUGUCCUUCUAUGGCCUCCAAAGGACACCCCCUCCCCUCACCCCGAAGGCAUACAUUCACAAGUACACACAUACACAUAAUGAAUCUAAGAAAAAAUUCAAGAUAUUUUAAAAACUGUAAGGUAAAAAUAAGUCACACACAGAGGCAGAAACAUCAAUAUCAGAUGUCUUAUCAGCAAUUCUAAAAGGCAGAAAGUAAAUACCUGCCAACCAAGAUUGCUAUUUCCAAAAAGGUUAUCCCUUAAAAUGGACAGACAAGGACCUUCCCUAUUCGUGGACUUGGAGAGGGGCAUAGGAAGAGAUGAGGGAGGAAAAGUAACUUUGGGAGGGCAGGAGGGAGGGGUCUACAGCUGGGAUACAAAGUGAAUAAACUGUAAUUAAUAUAAAAAUAAAAAUUUAAUUAAAAAAAGAACCUAGCAAGACAAGCACAGGGAAUACAAUUCUUGACUACAAGCCAGCACUGCAGAAGAUACUUAAGAGGAGUAGCACACAGAAAGAAGAAAGAAAGACUCUCUCAUAUGAACAUGUUUCAUAAGAGGAGCAGAUGAAUUAAUGAGAGCUGGGAAGGAAUCCUUCAUGUCCAGCAGCUCACUCCUGGUGCUAAGAGGAGAAAAAAGAAAAACAAACAAACAAACAAACAACAAUCUAUCUAACAAGAAAAAAAACCCAGAAAAUUACAGGAAUUAGUAAUUAUCUCAGGAAAAAAAAAUUAAAUGUAAAUAGUAUGCCUCAACUCAUCAACAGAUGCAGGCGAGCUGACUGAACCUUAAAAAAAAAAAAGAUUCAGCUAUCUGUUGUCUCCAAGAAACACCCACAGACUGAGAGUUAAAGAAUGAAAAACAAGCUGUAAAGUGAAUGGAAACCCCAAACAUGUUGGCAUAACUAUUUUGAUACCUGGUAAAGGAAAUAUAAACCCAAAGUUCUUGAGAAAAGCUGAAGCAGGCUACUACAUACUAGUAAGGGAACAAUUCUUGGAGAAUAUAUAAUAGUUGUAGGUACACAUACACACCUAAUGUUGGGGUUCCAAUAUCAUAAAACAAACAACUAAGGGACAAAAUGGACAUAAAGGUCAAAUGGCCCUGGACAAGAAAGCAGCGGGUAACUCCAAAAUGCCACCCUCACCUCUAGUGAGGUCACUAAAACUGACAACAAAACAAAACAAAAACCAAGAAAAUAUCAGUUGUAUUACAACAAAUCAAAUGAAAUUAAUAGAUAUUUUCAGAAUAUUUCGCCCAAGUAUACAUUUUUCUCAGUACCCACAAACUGAUCCCUCCUUAAAACAAAGUCUAGAUCAAAAAGCAAGCUUUAAAAAUAUUAAUAUAAUUAAAAUAAUUUCUUUUAUCUUAUCAGAUCACAAUGGAACAAAAGUAAAAACCGAGAGAACACAGACAGGCUGGGAAGCUGGACCAUUUGGCAAAGUGCUUGCUGUGCAAACAUGAGGACCUAAGUUUGGCCUCCUGCAUGUACAUUAGCAGCCAGGUGUGGUUGGCAUACUUGUAACUGUAACAUUGGAGAAGCAGAGAUAAGUGGUUCCCUGGGGACUUUCUGGCCAGCCAGCCUAGCCUGAGUGUCAAAUUCCAGGUUCAAGUGGCUCACUGUCUUGAGGAGUAACACCCAAAGUGGAUCCACACAUGUGAAUGCAUACCCCAUACACGUACAGACAAAGACAUACAUACGCACAUACACGUAAACACAGACACACACAAAGAGGGCCCACAGAAACUGCACAAAUCAUCAGACAUGAACAAAACACUUUUGAAUGACCAAUGGGUCAUUAAGGAAAUAAGGGAGGCAAUUUAAAGUUUCAUAGAAUCAUUGACCAUACAAGCACAGCUUACCAGUACAUUUAGAAUGAAGUAAAGAAAAUUCUAAGAGGUAAGUUUAUAGUCCGUACUAGGCUGUUUCUGCUACAACGACUCUAAAUAAAAUGUGAUAAGGGAGAAAAAUCUUUGCUGAUUACACAUUAGAUGGGAUUAACAACAAGGGCAUAGAAAGAACUGCAAAAGAACUGGACAGUUCUUUUAAAAAAUGCAUGUGACCAAAAAAAUACUUGAAAAAGUGUUUAACAUCCUUAGCCAUUGGGAAAAUGCAAAUUAAAACUGACAUUUACAGGAAAUAGCUAGAAUUGUAAACCAUUAUGUUAAGGGAAAUAAGUCAGAUUCAGAAAGAGUAGUAGUUUUCUUUUAUAUGUGGAGCCUAGAUUUAAAACUGUGUUUGUUCAUGUGUGUGUAUGCAUGUGUGGGUCUCAAACAAAGAAGACAGAUCAUGAGGGCGGAGGAAGACAUCUUAAGGAAGGUGGGAAAGAGGGCAACGGAAUACCCGUGAAAAGAGCAGAAGUGGAGACUUGCUGGGAGGAGGGAAGGAACUCGAAGCAGGGGUAGAGGACAGUGGGAGUCAGUGGGAGGGAGGAACAAAUGAGUGGCAUGGUGAAACUCUUUACUUUGUAUGUUAACCUUAAUAGUUAAUAGAAUGAUUUAAAAAGAUGGGUUUACCACAUUCCUUAUGGAAAAAUUUGAAAAAUAGCACAUAUAAAUAAAAUCAACUGGCUUAUUAGAGUCUAUAGUUGUUUUAGGAGAAUGAUGAUGAUGUGAAAAAGACGUUUUCUUCUUAGAACCACAGUCUAUAGUUACAUUCUAAACCUAAAAACAUUUCCUCGUGACAAGUUUUUGCACCUGCAUUUUAUGCAGGAUGUGUUAUGCCCCAUUUGUGGCAAACAAGCCUUCAUAGACUUGACAAUUUGCUAGAACAACUGAUGACUGCUUUCUUUCAAGAAACCACACUCUGGCUCAUGGUGUACCAGAGUAUCACCUAACUUUGAUUGCUAAACUCUAAGUCUGAUGAUUCACAAUCCUUGAUUCAUGUAACAUGUAAGUUUGCAAAACAAACAGGCCCUUUAGUCAGUCUGGUCCAGUUUGACAAAUGGUUGGCUGCAUAUCACAAGCAAGGCGAGUAGCGCCCUGCCACCAAGCUGCUAGGGUAUGAAGAAAGGUAGGAACAGACCCUCACGUUUAAACACUGCUCCCUCCCCUCUGUGAUCACAAGAGUCACAGUUCUGAGCACUGUUUCUGAGCUCGUGCUGCCCUGUUCUGCUCUGUUCAAGUGCUGUCCAACAUUUCCUUGCAGAGAGCCAGAAACCCCAAAUCUGCAUGUUCAGUGCUGAGCUCAGUGAUCACUUGCUCUCAGUUUGUUUUUUUCCAGGAUACCCAGCCUUCGUGACCAACGCUGUCUGAAGUGUAACUAAAAAGUCUGUUGGUCUUUCUAGUCAUCUUCCUCUAGUCAUCUUCCUCUUUAAUCCUUCACUCACAUCUGCCAAGUCAUUUCCUUCUGAGAUAUACGUUAGAACUCAUGCCAUUUACUAGAAUGUGAUCUUACUCACUUUACUCUUUCUGCGGGUAGAAAUUUCAUCUGCUUAUAAUGAUACUCUUAAUGCUUAUAUAGUUUGUAAAGAUGAAGAUGGGUUUUUGUUUUGUUUUGUUUUUGGAGACGGGGUCUUAUUUAGCCCAGGGUGGUGUCAAAUUUGCUGUGUGGUGGAGCAUGACCUUGAACUCCUCCUAAUCCUUCUGCCUACAUCUCACGUACUGAGAUUAUAGGUAUGCAACACCACACUCAGUUAAAAUGCUUUUAAAUCAUAUCAUGGCCAAGAGAACAAUUUUCAUCUAUUCAGAAAAAAAAGUUCCUGUAAUUUAAGUUUAAUCAGUAUCAUUUAAUUUUCACUGCCUUUUUUUUUUUUUUUUUUAGCUAUUUGUUCAAUAACGUUAUUUAGUACUUAUAUCUCAGAUACUUCCUCAUCACAAUAUGUGCUGUUAGGCUCUUGAAAUCUGACACACACUGCAGGACUUCCCAAGAAUCAGUCAGCCAGGCCUGAAGGCAGGAACAUUCUGACAACAAAUUCUGAACUCAUUCCAACAAACACUGCCACAGUGUUUUUAAAAAUGAGUGUGUGUGUAUUUAAUGUGCUCUACUCAAAAUAGCAUAUCUUCUUUCACAUCCUCGUCCCUUCUCAAUGAGGAAUCAAACCUCUAAAUCCCUUCCUACCAAACUUAUAACUAGGCAUUAAAAACAAAACAAAAGUUUUAACAAAUGCAUCAUGAGGUAUGAUUAUAAUUCUCAAGAAAUGCACUUAAAAUAGAUUUAUUAUUUCAUGUGUAUUUAUUUACACUUAUAUGGGUGUGUACCACAUGUGCGCAGGUGCCCACUGAAGCCAGAAAAGGGCAUUAGAUCCUAUGAACUAAAGUUACAGGUAAUUGUGAGCCACUGAGGUGGUGGUAUGACUGAAACAAACCAGAUUCAGCAGCAAACUCUCUGAACCACUAAGCAAUCUCCCCGCUUCUCAAGAAAUACACUAAGAAAGAAAGAGAAAAAAAAAAGGUAGAAAAGGAGAGGGAGGGAGAGAGAA